UUUUUUUUUGGAGGGGGGGGGGGAGGGGAGGGGGGAUUUUAGUGGCUAAUUCUGGUUUAAAGCUUUGUGAUGAGAAACUCUCUUGCUUCAUUGAUUAUUAUGCAAUACUAUCUAUACUGCUAUCCAGUAGCUUCUAUUUUUUGACAUUAAUUCUUUAGGAAACAAGAGUAAUGGAAGACCAGGUUUUUAAUGGGCAUGAUUUUAUUUAACAAAAUCAAUCUGUGUUAGAAUCACUAGGUAAUGACUCUAUUUUAUUGGUUA